rnacentral:rRNA from 1 species
ACUGGGGCUGAAACUCGGCCCAGACUCCUACGGGAGGCAUCAGUGGGGAAUAUUGCACAAUGGGCGAAAGCCUGAUGCAGCGACGCCGCGUGAGGGAUGACGGCCUUCGGGUUGUAAACCUCUUUCAGCAGGGAAGAAGCGAAAGUGACGGUACCUGCAGAAGAAGCGCCGGCUAACUACGUGCCAGCAGCCGCGGUAAUACGUAGGGCGCGAGCGUUUUCAGGAAUUAUUGGGCGUAAAGAGCUCGUAGGCGGCUUGUCGCGUCGGUUGUGAAAGCCCGGGGCUUAACCCCGGGUCUGCAGUCGAUACGGGCAGGCUAGAGUUCGGUAGGGGAGAUCGGAAUUCCUGGUGUAGCGGUGAAAUGCGCAGAUAUCAGGAGGAACACCGGUGGCGAAGGCGGAUCUCUGGGCCGAUACUGACGCUGAGGAGCGAAAGCGUGGGGAGCGAACAGGAUUAGAUACCCUGGUAGUCCACGCCGUAAACGGUGGGCACUAGGUGUGGGCGACAUUCCACGUCGUCCGUGCCGCAGCUAACGCAUUAAGUGCCCCGCCUGGGGAGUACGGCCGCAAGGCUAAAACUCAAAGGAAUUGACGGGGGCCCGCACAAGCGGCGGAGCAUGUGGCUUAAUUCGACGCAACGCGAAGAACCUUACCAAGGCUUGACAUACACCGG